UCCGGUUAAUUCUAAAAACAAGAACUGAUUUUAUACUAUUGGUGAUUAUAUAUUGCAAGGGGAAUUUUUUGGUGGUUCUACCGAAAAUGGGCAAGGCCGAAACCGAAUUCUGGCUUUCAUUUCGGAGUGGUGGCUCUAUCGCCACCCAAAGCGAGGUCUAGUGAUAAGACUAAGCAACAACGACGACUUCCCGUGCCGCAGAGCAGCAAUAAAGCUUUGCUGCUCCGUUAUCAAUUCGUCUCCCGGAAUAUGGCCAAGUUUAUCUGGGGACGCGACUUAUCUAAUUUGCUUUGGCAGG